GACCUUUGUCCACUAAGCUGUGGGGAAACCCUUCCUCCUCAGGCAGAGCUUGAGGCCAAGAUCAGCCCUUGAAGAUUGUGGAUCCUCAUAAGGACAGUUAUGAGCAGGGAACACUAUUUUCCCAUCUCAGACAUUC